AAAAAGAAAAAAUGACCAAUUGAAAAGUUGCUUAGAACUGGCCAUUCUGUAAUAUACUAAAGUUGCCCUUAGACGUUUAGAUUUAUGGUUGCCACCUGUCCGGUUUUGACCCUUAUAGCCCGAUUUUUUUAUUUUUUUUUGAAGGGCUGGAUUCCCUAUCGAUUUCGAUUCCCAAGCCUGUCAGCUGAGAGUCAAAGGGAUUAAUAUCCAGGAAAAUCAGUAUGUGAAGGCUCUAGAGAAGUUCUAUGAGCAGGUUAUGCAGGAAAUUCUGCGGCACAUCAACUUUGAUGUGGUAAAGGUGGUCCUUGUUGCCUCUCCCGGAUUUGUUCGGGAGCAGUUUUGCGAAUUCCUUUUCCUCCGAGCCGUGAAACAGGAUCUGAAAUUACUGCUUGAAAACUGCGGCAAAUUCCUACAAGUGCACAGCUCAUCCGGGCACAAGUACUCUCUCACAGGUAAUUCCAAUCAUUCACCAGUGGGGUGCACCCUUUGGUCUGAGGGCCAAGCAUUCAGUUCUGCCUCAGCCACAAAAAGAUCAGGGAAAACCAUGCAAAGCCUUUAACUCUGGGCCACAUGCAACGCCUAGUGUCAAAGCCUUCUCCAUCUGAUCCAAACUCAUCAAGUCCAACUGGUAUAGCACCAAUGUAUGGGCCUGGGUAUAUGCCCAACACAGGUGCAGAAAGUAGAUUCCAUCUUGAACAUUCUAAAUUCUGACUGGCAGAAGCCAAAGCUCACAGUGGAAUUGGAUAAGUACUUCACACUGUCGGUGGAACAGGUCAAAUGUGCUGCUUCUGAGACACGUUAUUGCACGUCAGUGGCUAAUUUAACCCCAAUAUGUUGAAAAAAAAAGAGUUGAAAGAGUCCGAUGUUCAGAAUUCACUUUGCUGCCCUCUAGUGACCACAGGGUGUAAGUGCAGUCUGGAUACUUUGGCGCUAGAGUCCAGCAGGUCUGGUACCUACAAUGCAGUGGGAUUGCAUGGCUAGCACUAGCGGAUAAUUAUAUGCAGGUGAAGUGAAGGUGUAAAGCUGGUCAUAGACAUGCAGAUUUUAGCCUUCUAUCCGAUGAACGAUCAUACGUCACAAUCUUCUGACUUUCCACUAAUCGUUCAGAUUAAAUAAAGUAGUAAAAGAACAAAUCUUUUCUGUGUUCUGCCAGUGACAGCAAUCGUAUGGAAGGUAUGGCCAACAAAUAGUAGUGACAGUCACCCACUGAUAUCGUCAGGCAAUACAUGUAGAAAAAUUAUUGUUAGCAGCCAGAAAUAUUCUAGCCUGAUCGACUAAACAAUCGAUAGCCAUGGUACAAAAAAUGUUGGGAUGAUCCACACACUGUUCGAAAAUCAUACGAACCUUUGAUUCGUAUGCGUCUAUGGGCAGCUUAAUUGCUUUCUGUUGUUAGUGCUGGUACGGGGAGGGGAGCCCUCACUCCUCUCCUACUUCCUGCCCUCAGAUAGUUUCAUUAUAGUUUAAAGUAUAUUUUAUGCUACUUCGGAUACAGGGAUCACUGACUGAGCAACUACACAGCUGCCCAUACACCAUCAGCUGCACUCAGACUUGCACUCGAUCAUACCAUAUAGAGGACUUAGAGACAGAUUGUCUUCCAGAUUAAUAUCAGAUAAGAGCGUGUCUUUCUAUGCACUAAGACUUCUUAGUAAAGAGUCACACACUCCUGCAAUAAAGAGUUGGUGGCUCCACAAAAGGAUGAACAACAAUGCUUUUUAGUUUCAAGUGAGUCAGAGUUGGACUUCCAAAGGGUUCUGGUAAUGGACUAUUAGCACUUACUCACUACAAGCCUCAAGUCCCUAACAGGUGAGGAAUUACACAUGGCAAUUCUUCACUACAGGGGGUAUGAGUCAAAUUUUUACUGAGUCACCGUUUAAAAUGAUACUGUCAUGAGAAAACAUGUUUUUUUUCAAAAUGCAUCAAUAAUAGU